rnacentral:rRNA from 1 species
AUUGAACGCUGGCGGCAUGCUUUACACAUGCAAGUCGAACGGUAACAGGGUGCUUGCACCGCUGACGAGUGGCGAACGGGUGAGUAAUGCGUCGGAACGUGCCGAGUAGUGGGGGAUGACGCAGCGAAAGUUGUGCUAAUACCGCAUACGUACUGAGGUAGAAAGUGGGGGACCUUCGGGCCUCACGCUAUUCGAGCGGCCGACGUCUGAUCAGCUAGUAGGUGAGGUAAAGGCUCACCUAGGCGACGAUCAGUAGCGGGUCUGAGAGGAUGAUCCGCCACACUGGGACUGAGACGCGGCCCAGACUCCUACGGGAGGCAGCAGUGGGGAAUUUUGGACAAUGGGCGAAAGCCUGAUCCAGCCAUGCCGCGUGUCUGAAGAAGGCCUUCGGGUUGUAAAGGACUUUUGUCGGGGAGGAAAUCCCCAGCGCUAAUACCGCUGGGGGAUGACAGUACCUGAAGAAUAAGCACCGGCUAACUACGUGCCAGCAGCCGCAGUAAUAC